rnacentral:rRNA from 1 species
CCUACGGGAGGCAGCAGUGAGGAAUAUUGGUCAAUGGGCGAGAGCCUGAACCAGCCAAGUCGCGUGAGGGAGUACUGCCCUAUGGGUUGUAAACCUCUUUUGUCGGGGAGCAAAAGCCGGACGUGUCCGGCUGUGAGAGUACCCGAAGAAAAAGCAUCGGCUAACUUCGUGCCAGCAGCCGCGGUAAUUCGGGGGAUGCGAACGUUAUCCGGUUUUAUUGGGUUUAAAGGGUGCGCAGGCGGGUUUUAAAAUCAGCGGUAAAAUCGUGGGGCUCAACCCCAUCCAGCCGUUGAAACUGGGGAUCUAGAGUGUGCGAGAGGUAUGCGGAAUGCGUGGUGUAGCGGUGAAAUGCAUAGAUAUCACGCAGAACCCCGAUUGCGAAGGCAGCAUACCGGUGCACAACUGACGCUCAGGCACGAAAGCGUGGGUAUCGAACAGGAUUAGAUACCCUAGUAGUC